UACGAAGGGGGCUAGCGUUGCUCGGAAUCACUGGGCGUAAAGCGCACGUAGGCGGCUUCUUAAGUCAGGGGUGAAAUCCUGGAAGCUCAACUCCAGAACUGCCUUUGAUACUGGGAGGCUCGAGUCCGGGAGAGGUGAGUGGGAACUGCGAGUGUAGAGGUGAAAUUCGUAGAUAUUCGCAAGAACACCAGUGGCGAAGGCGGCUCACUGGCCCGGUACUGACGCUGAGGUGGCGAAAAGCGUGG
rnacentral:rRNA from 1 species